rnacentral:sRNA from 1 species
UGACGUAUAACACGCUCAGCCUACGACA